CCUACGGGAGGCAGCAGUGGGGAAUUUUGGACAAUGGGCGCAAGCCUGAUCCAGCAAUGCCGCGUGAGUGAAGAAGGCCUUCGGGUUGUAAAGCUCUUUUGUCAGGGAAGAAACGGUGGGGGCUAAUAUCUCCUACUAAUGACGGUACCUGAAGAAUAAGCACCGGCUAACUACGUGCCAGCAGCCGCGGUAAUACGUAGGGUGCAAGCGUUAAUCGGAAUUACUGGGCGUAAAGCGUGCGCAGGCGGUUUUGUAAGUCUGUCGUGAAAGCCCCGGGCUCAACCUGGGAAUUGCGAUGGAGACUGCAAGGCUUGAAUCUGGCAGAGGGGGGUAGAAUUCCACGUGUAGCAGUGAAAUGCGUAGAGAUGUGGAGGAACACCGAUGGCGAAGGCAGCCCCCUGGGUCAAGAUUGACGCUCAUGCACGAAAGCGUGGGGAGCAAACAGGAUUAGAUACCCUGGUAGUCCACGCCCUAAACGAUGUCUACUAGUUGUCGGGUUUUAAUUAACUUGGUAACGCAGCUAACGCGUGAAGUAGACCGCCUGGGGAGUACGGUCGCAAGAUUAAAACUUAAAGGAAUUGACGG
rnacentral:rRNA from 1 species